GACUUCACAGCUGGACAGGCUCUUAGGAGGUGGGGCUAGGUGGAGGGGGUAGGCCACUAGGGUUGUGACUUUGCAGGGUAACACUUUUCUCUGGCUCUCUCACUCUCUACUUCUGGGCUGCCAUGAGGCAAAGCACUUUCCUUUACCAUGAACUUCUGCCAUGAUGUUUCUGCCUCACCACAGGGCUACAUGCAAUGGAGUGACCAACCAUGGACUGAAACCUCUGAAACUGUGAGCCAAAAUUAACGUUUCAUGAUUAUGCAGUGAUUUUUCUCAGAUACUUUGUCAUAGCAAUGAAAAACUGACCAAUACAUCAACUCUGGAUUUAGUCAGAAUGAAGCCACAGAGAAGCUAUGUCCUUCAGUCACACCUUGUAACCAUUUCUGUGUUCCUCAAGAUUUCACAUGUGAUUUCAGAGAGAUGAGGGGAGGCCUUUCCCUGACAGUAGGUUCUAACACAUUAAUAAUUCAUCAGCCUGGAAGACAUCACAGUACUUUUGGUGUUCAUCCUCACCCCAGUGCACAUGAGGGCCUUCUCUAAAGAUAAACCAGAGGGACUACAUUCUCACCUGGGAGCGUACUGACAGCUUCUGUGAAAGAAAGACUCCUGGAGUCCAGAAAGUAUAAAUGCAAACAAAAAUAAAACUUUCAGGUUAAAGGUGAUUUCACCUAUCUACCAUGUCCCUGUUGGGUGACAGGAAAUGGUUCAUUCAAGGAAAGUUUGUCAGCUCUUGUUUAAUUCUCUAAUGAUACAUACUUGAAAAAUAUAGCUUUUCUAGACUCUUACACCUGUCUUAG
rnacentral:lncRNA from 1 species